AGAGUUUGAUCCUGGCUCAGAACGAACGCUGGCGGCAGGCCUAACACAUGCAAGUCGAACGAGAAGCCACCUUCGGGUGGUGGACAGUGGCAGACGGGUGAGUAACGCGUGGGAACGUGCCUUUCGGUUCGGGAUAACCCAGGGAAACUUGGGCUAAUACCGGAUACGCCCUUCGGGGGAAAGAUUCAUUGCCGAAAGAUCGGCCCGCGUCGGAUUAGCUAGUUGGUGGGGUAAAAGCCUACCAAGGCGACGAUCCGUAGCUGGUCUGAGAGGAUGACCAGCCACACUGGGACUGAGACACGGCCCAGACUCCUACGGGAGGCAGCAGUGGGGAAUAUUGGACAAUGGGCGCAAGCCUGAUCCAGCCAUGCCGCGUGGGUGAAGAAGGCCUUAGGGUUGUAAACCCCUUUCAGUGGGGACGAUAAUGACGGUACCCGCAGAAGAAGUCCCGGCUAACUCCGUGCCAGCAGCCGCGGUAAUACGGAGGGGACUAGCGUUGUUCGGAAUUACUGGGCGUAAAGCGCACGUAGGCGGAUUUGUUAGUCAGGGGUGAAAUCCCGAGGCUCAACCUCGGAACUGCCUUUGAUACUGCAAAUCUCGAGUCCGG
rnacentral:rRNA from 1 species